UACAGAGACUGCAAGCGUUAUUCGGAUUCACUGGGCGUAAAGGGUGCGCAGGCGGCCAAGUGUGUCAGGUGUGAAAUCCCGAGCUUAACCUCGGAACUGCGCCUGAAACUACUUGGCUAGAGUACUGGAGAGGGCAACGGAAUUCACGGUGUAGCAGUGAAAUGCGUAGAUAUCGUGAGGAACACCAGAGGCGAAGGCGGUUACCUGGACAGUUACUGACGCUCAGGCACGAAAGCGUGGGGAGCAAAAGGG
rnacentral:rRNA from 1 species